rnacentral:rRNA from 1 species
GGCUUAGGAUGAACGCUAGCGACAGGCCUAACACAUGCAAGUCAGGGGCAGCACAAGGAGCAAUCUGAGGUGGCGACCGGCGCACGGGUGAGUAACACGUAUGCAACCUGCCUGUAAGCGGGGAAUGACCCGUUGAAAGACGGACUAAUACCGCAUAAUACUAAAUUACUGCAUGGUAAUUUAUUUAAACAUUUAUGGCUUACAGAUGGGCAUGCGCAUGAUUAGCUAGUUGGAGAGGUAACGGCUCCCCAAGGCAACGAUCAUUAGGGGUUCUGAGAGGAAGGUCCCCCACACUGGUACUGAGACACGGACCAGACUCCUACGGGAGGCAGCAGUGAGGAAUAUUGGUCAAUGGACGAGAGUCUGAACCAGCCAAGUCGCGUGCAGGAAGAAUGUUCCCUAUGGAUUGUAAACUGCUUUUGCAGGGGAAUAAAGUGCAUCACGUGUGAUGUUUUGUAUGUACUCUGCGAAUAAGGAUCGGCUAACUCCGUGCCAGCCGCCGC